ACAGAGGUGGCGAGCGUUGUUCGGAUUUACUGGGCGUAAAGGGCGCGUAGGCGGCGCGGUGUGUCGGGUGUGAAAUCCAUGGGCUCAACCCAUGAAGUGCGCCCGAAACUGCCGCGCUCGAGUUCGGGAGGGGGGAUCGGAAUGCAGGGUGUGGCGGUGCAGUGCGUUGACAUCCUGCAGGAGACGGGAGGGGAAGGGGAAUCAACGGAAUUACACUGACGCUGAGGCGCGGGAGCAGGUGAAGAGGUGAG
rnacentral:rRNA from 1 species